GUGGGGGCGCUGUCUGGGCUCCGGCCGGAGCGGCUCGAGGGGAGGGCCCGCGCGGGGUAAGCGGGUACCGUUUGCGGGCCGGGCUGGGCGGCCUUCAUCACCCGGUAACGACCGGGAGGGGCGAGAGGCGAAGGCCCUAGAGAGGAUGUAGGCGGGCCUUGGUCUCCUCCUGAAGGAAUGCAAGUUGUUGAGACAAAUUAAAUCCUGAAUGGUGAAUGUUUUCUUGGGCAUCAGCAGAUCGACUUCCUAAUUUAAUAAUGGCAGAUAUUACCUCAAAAUGGUGAAAAUAUUGAUCACGAAGCAGGCGUUGGCUGUCUGGCAUGCAUGGCGGUGUUGGCCGAAGACUCCUCGCUGUGCCCGCAGCACCCAGCAACCAGCGCAGGGAGAGCAAAUGUGGGAGAGCCAUGGGCCUGCCCAUGUGCCAUGUACAGGCAGCUGUGCUCAGAGGCCUGCAGUACAGGUGUAUUUCUAGGUACAACAACACAGCGGUACUGAAAUGCUGACAGCCACAACAGCUAGUGAUGUACAAAUAGAAAAUUGGAAAAGCAGCCAGCAGCUUUGUGAUAGCUCAAACAGCAUUCACUCCUGUUUCCUAGGUCUCGCAGGGACCAUGCCUGAGGACAGAGAUGCUUCUGCUUCUGUGCCCAUUUAAUCCUGGGCUCUUCUACUGGACUGCCACCAGCUCAGCUGUAUUUUGGUAAUACCUGCUCACUGAGAAAUGGACAAAAUGCUGAAAAAAAGUCACUGACCAGCAAUGGAAAAUGGAUGUCACGUUAGCACCAACCUGUUGCAAGAAGUGAAGAGACUUUUAAACCCUUGCUGCUCAUUGAAAGUAACUUUAGUGGUCUUCCAUUCAGGAUCAUUAAUUGCUUCAUUCAGUUUCUGAUAGGGCUUUGGGCAAAAAUGUCUUAAUUCAGUGGCGAAACAUUCAGCUGGUCAUAUUUAUGUAAGCCCACUAUGUUUAACGUUACUGUUACUUAUUUAAAACUUCUCAGCUGUGUGUGGGAGUUGCACAUUCAAGAAUCUAAUUUGUAUCCAGAUACAGAAAACAAGCCCGAAUUUCUACUAGGGUAAUAAUAUUCACUGAUUGUUUCUUUACUAUUCUAUGAAAUCUCUCUCCAUCUUUUUAGAGCAUACAAUCCUUUGGGGACUACAGCUGUGCCUGGAUUUAGAUAAUUAAACUGAAUUAAAUAUAACCAUCAGAGUUUGUAAAAAAAAUAAAAUUGUUUACAUAUUUCACAAAACAUUAUAUCACCUUUUGUUAAACAACAGAAAAAAACCACUGCAUUGUUGUUGUUUAGAUAAGGUAUUUUACUUAAAAUAAUUCUGCUGUGGACUAAGGUCAAGGUUGAGAGCUUCAGCUACUACCGUUAAAAGCAGUGACAAUAGAUUUAGAAUUUUACACCCUAAUGAGCUAUACUGGUGUUUUAAUAUAAUUACCAAUAUUUUAUCUCAUGAGCAAUUGAUCAUAAUGAUCAAGUAACAAAUAACUCAUCAUAAUUAAUAUGAAUGCCUCUGUAACUUAUGUCCUCCCUCAUGAACUCUUCAAGGCACCUGUGUUAUGCAUGAGAUUGUUGUAGCUUUUAUUGGUGUGAAACUGUUCGUUGGCAAAGUUUGCCGCAAAUUGCCCAAUGCAUUUACCAGUGCAGCUUGGUAACAGAUGGGUGUGGGAAAUUUAUAGCAACUAUUGUUCCCAUGAUGGAUCUGCCAUAGCUGUAACAUUAGUUUCAGUCUAAGGCACUGUUACACUUACAGUUUUAGCCAUCAAAAGUAAAAGCCUAGCCAAAGACUACUGAAACUACAGAUAGCUGGACCACAGCUCCUGAAGACAUAUUGCACAGACAAGAUACAACUAUCGAUGCAAACUAAGAAAAUACCAGGAGUUAUCCCCAGGAUUUAGAAGUGCUAUAAAUAUCAAGACAGUAUUUAGAUUACAGCUUCAGCAGAGUCCCCAGCAACAUUAAUUCCCAGGGAUGUUAUCCCAGUUACCCUGUAAUUACAGAUUAAGUGCACAAAGUACAAAAUAUAGAGUUACAUAACGAGUCUUUCAAGUGAUACUGUGCAAGUGAUCCCAGUGAAAGUUUAAACAAAUUCUAUAUACACAACUUCACAUUAGACAUGAAGUCCAAACUUCUCUCAUUGAAAUUUCUGUUUUUGUAUAUGAAGGCCAAUGUGAGUAAACAUUGAGUAAACUAAACUGAAGCCCUCUCUAAAUCUGUAUCUUUUGAGAGUUUAAAUGGGCUAAGCAAUGCAUAUGUAGUUGUUCAGAGUGUUUACUGCUGGUUUUCCCAGUUCUUAAUAAUGUUGUUUGUUACAUUCAUGUCUUUCAACUUUUCUGACUAGACUGAAAGGCCUCCAGAGUAAACACUUCUCAUUAAAUGCUGAGGUACUGGAAUGGUGGCUCUUAACUUGGUCUGAAUUGGGACUUCUGAACAUCGUUGCAGUGCAAACAUUAAAUAAUAAUCACUGGAAGUCAUAAUUGCCCAAAAGACAUGGAGAGACAAUGAGUAAUCUUUUCUAUAAUGAGUGUAUAUUGAAGUUUUGCCAUUUAUUUUAUAGAUACACUGUAAUUUGUAUUUGUCCAUGAUCCAUUCAAAGUGUUUUAAUGUAGCAUGUUUUGAUUGAUCUGAUUCACAACUGGAUUAUACCACAGUUACGCUGGUGAAAUCCAUUUAAAAGCAACAACAACAACAGAACAACAGUAUAAUGCAGUGGCAAUUAAGGCCCAGAAGUAUGUUGUCCACAUUCCUUAAUGUAUAAUGCCUCUCUCCUGUAUUUUAGGAGAAGCUAAUUAAGCUAUCUCUGUUCGGUUUAAUGUUGAAACAAUGAAAAACCAAUACUAACUAAACAUUGUGUUAUGCCAUAGAAAGAA